AGGGAGUGGUGGGGUCACCAUCCAUGGAGAUGUUCAAGAACGGUGGAGAUGUGGUACUGAGGAACAUGGCCAGUGGGCAUGGUGGGAGAGGGUUGACAAUUGGACCUUGUGAUCUCAGAGGUGUUUUCCAACCUUAAUGAUUCUAUGAAUGUUUAUAAAAGGGUGAGCUUUCCUCCCAUGCAGGGUGGGAGCCUGUGAAGGCCUCUUGGAGCAGCCAAGUACAUCAGCACCCACCUCCAGCCAGGGCUCAGGUCCCAUCUGGGGGCUGACGUGGCUCCCAGACCUGAGCAUUGCCAUCAGCUGCCUCACGUGCAGCAACAAAUCACUCACUUCUGUGCUGUGCCAGGGAAGAGCAGCAACAGCUGUAAUUUGGCAUUAUGUCCCAUGUCGUGUGCAUUUCAGGGCUUAAUUAAUUAAUUCAGGCCCUCAGAUAAGCAGCAUUGUUUGUCAGGCUGGGUGAUGCUGGGCGCUCCUGGCUUAGGCAUGCUCCAGAGCAUCCUUUAGCAGAUCAAGCUCAGUGGGUCGGGCCGUGCUGCCUGCAGGCUGAUGUGCUGCUGAUGGCAAAUUAUCCCCAGCUGGGCUGAGUGCUGCCAAAUUGCAGCUCUUCCCAGGGCAAGGUGACUGCUGCUGAAACAAACCCUUUCGUGGAAAUUGUCGUCAUUUUGCAGCAAGAAGGGCUGGGUGUCUCACCUGCUGGUGAGGAGGAGGAGGGGUGGCUGGAAGGUAAAGGUCUCUCCCUGUAAGGUGCAGCAUUACCAGCGUGCACAGGUGGAAAACCACGUCGUCUCAGAGGGACAGCCCACACCAGUGUUGAGACCACUGAAGGAGAUGUUCCAGCUGCAGCCAGGCCAUGGACAUGUUCUCCUGCCCAGAAAGGUCCAAAUAAAAGAGAGACCAGGACUUGAAGAACAAGGUCCAGAAAUGCAAUGACUACAAAUGAAGCCAAAAGUAGGGCUGUGGAUCUUGCUUUUUGAGGAUAAAGACCGUAAGUUUGCAGAUUUAGAAGGAUAAAGCCAGCUGUGCUUCACCUCUCUGACAGGGUCAAUGAAAUAGAGAUUUUUCUUUCUAGAGAUCAUAAAAUAAUG
rnacentral:lncRNA from 1 species